rnacentral:rRNA from 1 species
UAGGUGGCGAGCGUUGUCCGGAUUUAUUGGGCGUAAAGCGCGCGCAGGCGGUGCGCUAAGUCUGCGGUGAAAUCUCCCUGGCUCAACCGGGAGGGGGCCGUGGAGACUGGCGCACUGGAGGGACCUAGAGGCCGGUGGAAUUCCCGGUGUAGUGGUGAAAUGCGUAGAGAUCGGCAGGAACACCCAGGGGGAAACCAGCCGACUGGGCAUCUACUGACGCUGAGGUGCGAGAGCGUGGGGAGCGAACCGG